CCCAGAUAACGGUAAGAUGUCGUAAAAACACCAAAAGUAAGCAUUUCAAGCGCAAUGAGACUUGAUCGAUUUUUAUAUUUUAUAUUGUAGUACAUAGUCUAUGUAAAACAGAGCUGUAAAAAGAAAUCCUGCAACAACUUUAGCAACUGAAUCAGAUUUUCAAUAUGAGGUUGUGCGUUUUUUGCGUGGUGCAUCAGACCGCAAUGGCGGACAAAAAGUUAAACUAGACCAAAAAAACAAACAAGCCAAGAAAAAAGUGAUGCCUACAUCAAGUUUUCCAAUGCCAUUAAAUAAAGAGACAUUUUUUAGUUCAGAAGAUGAAUAACAUUGUUAAAUAAAAUAAGCAUCUUUAUUUACAAUAACCUUUUGUAUAUGAGAUUGUAGAUGAGAAUUUGAAUCGUGAUAUUGAAUCUUACCAGAGAAUAAAGAAACCGUUUACCUCAACCAGAGUUAUAUUUCAUAGAAUUAUGUUGACCAUGAUCCAAAUAUUGCCAUGGGUAUAAGAUAGAUGUUUGAUUUGCAAACUGGAUUUAAAUCAUAUUUUCUUUAAACAUAUUUAUUUGCUCUCUAUAUGCUUACAAAUAAUUUAUUUAAAAAAAUUAUAUACUUAUUUACUAAACCGUUUUAUUUCAAUCAAUUAUUUGACUUUUUAUAUUUUUCAAGGAAUUUUUAUAGUAUAUUAUAUUGCGUUAUGUUUUUUUUUUUUUUUUUUUUUUUUUGUAUGGUGAAAACUAUGUUCAAUGUGCAAACUAUAUUUUAGUUUAUCAAAAUAUAUUUUUAUUGAUGUGUUCUGUCUCUGAUUCUUUCUUUUUCAGAUGUGCACUUAUGUCUAAGGCUUAUGCUUUGCAAAAGGUUUACCAUUGUACUUAAGUUGCUGUGGUUUUACUUCCAACCUGGCAUAUAAAUGCACUUAGUAUCUGAAGUUAUUUGUCAAUAACUGGUGAUCAGACUAUUUCAAACGAACACGUUUUUAAGGGCUUAGUUUCUUAUCUUUGUUGUAUUAGCUCUAAACUUGACUGUUUCAAUAUUUUCAUUAUAUAUAAUUGCCUGUUUUUAGGUGAAAGUUAGAAGUCUGCAGACUGCAACGUAAAUCAAUUUUCAACACAUGGUUUCCUGAAUAUAUUUAGUUUUCGAUUGAAAUGA